AGGGCGGGUUUUGUGUAAAUUUGUUCUUACCAUUCUUACCGGGGAAUUAUAUACCAAACAGAAAUGGAUUACAUUUCAACUAAAACUUAUUCCCUUAUCGUUUUUAGCGGUUUGGAUUUUGAGGGGGGGAGUUUGAUUUUUUAUCAUUUUUAUUUCUAUCGAUAUCGAUAUCGUAUCAUCGAUUAGAAUAGAAUUCGACAAGUGUCGUCUGCCAUCGUUUAGUUUAAAAUUUCGAAAAACUCAGUCAGAGAACAAGAAUUAUAUUGCUAUAGAUUUAUUUGUCUUCGAUCCGUUAUACUGCAUGCUUUUUAGCGGAUUUGAGGCCAGAGCCAUCCAUCGUACCCACACAAUGUGCAAGUUUUUCUUGUGCAGGUGUUAACCUGUCACCAGCAACAAUCUCAGGAUCAUCGUUUUGGAUAAUAAGCAUCCCAUUGCUUUGGAAUACAAUGUCAAUCGAGUUAUGGAUCUCUCUUCUUCCCCUUUUCUUUAAAUUUCCUCGUGUACGCCCAUGUGAAUGUGGGUGUAUUCACGAGGACAACCUUUGUCCCUAU